rnacentral:rRNA from 1 species
UACGUAGGGUGCGAGCGUUAAUCGGAAUUACUGGGCGUAAAGCGUGCGCAGGCGGUUUUGUAAGCCAGAUGUGAAAUCCCCGGGCUUAACCUGGGAAUGGCAUUUGGGACUGCAAGGCUGGAGUGUGGCAGAGGAGACUGGAAUUCCUGGUGUAGCAGUGAAAUGCGUAGAUAUCAGGAGGAACAUCAGUGGCGAAGGCGGCCCUCUGGACCAGUACUGACGCUGAGGCACGAAAGCGUGGGGAGCAAACAGG